UCAACGGCCGCGGUACCCUAACCGUGCGAAGGUAGCAUAAUCACUUGUUCUUUAAAUAAGGACUAGUAUCAACGGCACCACGAGGGCUAUACUGUCUCCUUUCUCCAAUCAGUGAAACUGAUCUCCCCGUGAAGAAGCAGGGAUUAAUAUAUAAGACGAGAAGACCCCAUGGAGCUUUAAACUCAUCAUACACCUCUGUUUAUCUACAUCACCAUAUCCUAAAAGACUUGUAUGCUAGUUUUAGGUUGGGGGGACCGCGGAGUAAAAAUUAACCUCCACGACAAAUGGGCUACSCCUUAUCUAAGAACGACAGUUCUAAGAAUCAACAAACUGAUGUUUAAUGACCCAAAUAAUUGAUCAACGAACCAAGUUACCCUGGGGAUAACAGCGCAAUCUACUUCAAGAGCCCCUAUCGACAAGUAGGUUUACGACCUCGAUGUUGGAUCAGGGUAUCCCAGUGGUGCAGCCGCUACUAAAGGUUCGUUUGUUCAACGAUUAAAACCCUACGUGAUC
rnacentral:rRNA from 1 species